rnacentral:miRNA from 1 species
CUCUUCAACUUCAGGACUUGCA